CAUCCCCAUGGGGAUGGGAAUCCGGCAGGAGUGUCCUCGCACCACUGGGCGCACAUCAGAAAAUUUGGGGAGCCCAGCAGUUAGGGCCUGACGCCAGAGGGCCCUCAUCACAGAGGGGAGGAGGCUCCCAGCAGGCUCCAACUGCCACCAGAGGGCCGACGUCUCCAAGGAGAGGUGUGCCAGCC